rnacentral:rRNA from 1 species
UACGGGGGGGGGCAAGCGUUGUUCGGAAUUACUGGGCGUAAAGGGCUCGUAGGCGGCCAACUAAGUCAGACGUGAAAUCCCUCGGCUUAACCGGGGAACUGCAUCUGAUACUGGAUGGCUUGAGUUCGGGAGAGGGAUGCGGAAUUCCAGGUGUAGCGGCGAAAUGCGUAGAUAUCUGGAGGAACACCGGUGGCGAAGGCGGCAUCCUGGACCGAUACUGACGCUGAGGAGCGAAAGCCAGGGGAGCAAACGGG